rnacentral:rRNA from 1 species
CUGCUGCCUUCCGUAGGAGUUUGGGCCGUGUCUCAGUCCCAAUGUGGCCGUCCACCCUCUCAGGCCGGCUACUGAUCGUCGCCUUGGUGGGCCUUUACCCCGCCAACCAGCUAAUCAGACGCGGGUCCAUCCCAUACCACCUUGGUUUUCAAACAAAAAGCAUGCGCUUUCUGUUGUUAUGCGGUAUUAGCACCUAUUUCUAAGUGUUAUCCCCCUGUAUGGGCCAGGUUACCCACGCGUUACUCACCCGUCCGCCACUAAGCCUUUCCCUUUUCCCG